UACGUAGGGGGCAAGCGUUGUCCGGAUUGAUUGGGCGUAAAGAGCGUGUAGGCGGCCAGGUAGGUCCGCUGUGAAAACUCGAGGCUCAACCUCGAGAUGUCGGCGGAAACCAUCUGGCUAGAGUCCGGAAGAGGAGAGUGGAAUUCCUGGUGUAGCGGUGAAAUGCGCAGAUAUCAGGAAGAACACCCGUGGCGAAGGCGGCUCUCUGGGACGGUACUGACGUUGAGACGCGAAAGCGUGGGGAGCGAACAGG
rnacentral:rRNA from 1 species